rnacentral:rRNA from 1 species
CCUACGGGAGGCUGCAGUGGGGAAUAUUGGACAAUGGGGGCAACCCUGAUCCAGCCAUGCCGCGUGUGUGAAGAAGGCCCUCGGGUUGUAAAGCACUUUCAGUGAGGAAGAACGCCUGGUGGUUAAUACCCAUCAGGAAAGACAUCACUCACAGAAGAAGCACCGGCUAACUCCGUGCCAGCAGCCGCGGUAAUACGGAGGGUGCGAGCGUUAAUCGGAAUUACUGGGCGUAAAGCGCGCGUAGGUGGCUUGAUAAGCCGGUUGUGAAAGCCCCGGGCUCAACCUGGGAACGGCAUCCGGAACUGUCAAGCUAGAGUGCAGGAGAGGAAGGUAGAAUUCCCGGUGUAGCGGUGAAAUGCGUAGAGGUCGGGAGGAAUACCAGUGGCGAAGGCGGCCUUCUGGACUGACACUGACACUGAGGUGCGAAAGCGUGGGUAGCAAACAGGAUUAGAUACCCUAGUAGUC